rnacentral:rRNA from 1 species
GACGUAGGGCGCGAGCGUUGUCCGGAUUUAUUGGGCGUAAAGAGCUCGUAGGCGGCUUGUCGCGUCGUCUGUGAAAUCCCAUGGCUCAACUGUGGGCUUGCAGUCGAUACGGGCAGGCUGGAGUUCGGUAGGGGAGACUGGAAUUCCUGGUGUAGCGGUGAAAUGCGCAGAUAUCUGGAGGAAUACCGAUGGCGAAGGCAGGUCUCUGGGCUAUAACUGACGCUCAUGCACGAAAGCGUGGGGAGCAAACAGG